GGCAGAUGAUGUCCAUUCUCACGAUGGUCUUCGGAUGCCACAUCGCGUGGGCGCUGGCGACGCCGCCGAAAGGCUCAGCUGAUGCCAGGGG